UAAAUUUGCCAGCUUGAAAUUCCUGAUCUAUUUGCUCUGUCUCCCUGCAAAAAGUCUUAUUUUAAUCCACUAGAUGGCUGCAAGUACUAGGGAGAAGAAUUUUUUUCUCUAUCACCUUCCUUCACAAUAAACAGAUCUGAAAUAUAGGUGCCAUCCAUAAGCUAUCGUCCAUAGACAUCAAGUGUAUAUUUAGAGCUCCUUCCUCGCUGUUUCGUCGAAUAUCUUGGCUUCUCAAUGGACUAGAAGCUCAAUGUGGGUGUUUUUGGAAAGCUGAUCAUCAAUAGUUGAGAACAUAUUUUAUUUAUCAUGCUUUUACUACCGGACUGCAUAUUUUGUUCUAAACUUGGAUAUAACAUUGGAUUAUUUAUAGGGGUGCACCAAUAUAAAAUGUUUUGGCCGAUACCAAAUUUAACAAUAAACCUAUUGAAUUGGAAUUAUGUUUUAAAUGUAUUUUAUUUAUUUAUUUAUUCUCCCCUUUUCUCCCCAGUUUGGAAUGCCCAAUUCCCAAUGCACUCUUAAGUCCUCGUGGUGGCGUAGUGACUCGCCUCAAUCUGGGUGGCGGGGGACGAAUCUCAGUUGCCUCCGCGUCUGAGACCGUCAAUCUGUGCAUCUUAUCAUGUGGCUUGUUGAGCGCGUUACCGCGGAGACCUAGUGCGUGUGGAGGCUUCACUCUAUUCUACGUGGUAUCCACGCACAACUCACCAAGUGCCCCACCAAGAGCAAGAACCACAUUAUAGCGACCACGAAGAGGUUACCCCAUAUGACUCUACCCUCCCUAGCAACCGGGCCAAUUUAGUUGCUGAGUAGACCUGGCUGGAGUCACUCCGCACGCCCUGGAUUCGAACUCGCGACUCCAGGGGUGGUAGUCAGCGUCAGUACUCGCUGAGCUACACAGGCCCCCUUAUGUUUUAAAUUUACAAUUUUAUGUUCUAAAUGUACAAAGAGGUACAAAAGCUUUUUCUACACUUAAUAAUUUCCAUUGAACAUGGAUUGGAUCUGUUGAACACAUGACAGGCCAAAAUUUUAAAGAGAGCCACAAUGAAAGAUAAAAAGAAGAGAAAAAGUAACUUAAUAUCAUAGCAUGAUGAAACAUUUUUGCACUUCAAAACCACAAAACUCACAUUUUACAUGUUUGUACUUUAUAUAAUAAAACAUCAUAAAUUAAUAAUUUGCAUAUGUUGGGCAAUUCCACAGAAAUGUCAACAAUAUCAUGGAAAAAUAAAAAGUUACCAAGGGAACCAAACUACCUUUUAAGUUCUGUUGUGAUUGUGGGGAUGGGGGCGUGGUCGGGUGUCUGUUUUCGGGAGAGAGGGAGUGGUGUGGCUCAUCAAACGGGUUGGCGUAAUUUCUAACAGCUGUUUCUUGUUACAGUGAUAGCGGAGAGAGACCUUAAAAAACAGCCAAACACGGCAGAGAAGGGGAGAGCGACACGAGACUGCAGUGUUGCCAUGUUCACGGAGAAUUAAUUAAGAGUUUAUGCUAGUAAGAGUUUAAGGUAUUGAGAGUUAAUGUUUUUGAAAAUUGACACUACUGAGUGAAAGCACCAAAGACAAGUGUGUGAAGUGCACAUCAGUACAGAAAAUAAAAACUUGCCUGAACUGCUGCGUUGCUUCCUGACUCCUCCUUUCCUGUGUCCGAACUAUCAGUAAUAUCACAGUGGUGUAAUGGAUCAUGGAAAAUGCCAUGCAGACCGCUAGAGAGCGCCGCUUGCUUACACAAUGCCGACUGAAACGCUGAUUGCAGUCUAUUUUUAAAUGUAGCUUUCAAACUUUCCUAAUCGCACAAGACAAUAUUGCUAUUUUAAUCUUAACUCAAUCAAUCGUGCAGCCUUAAUAGAUACCAUACCAGUGUCUGAGGAGUCAAAGUUUGCUGGUUUCAAAGCAUUUUGAUGGUUUUACCUCAUCAUGUAUAGGUAAGUGCUGCUUUCACAACGGUCACAUUCGAAUGACGUUUUUCCCCAAUGUGUGAAAGCAAAUGAUUAUAAAUUAAAUAUUACAUGUUCUCAGUGCCAACCAUUAUCAUUAUUUCUGGAUUGUGCAUUUUUGAAUUCACAGAGUUUUUACAAAGUGUGUUACUAAUUAAUUAUAAAUUAACCGUUGUUUUUUUCAAUUUGGCAUUUUAAUUAAAAACGAUUUGCUGAUGGUUUUAACUUGGUCAAUAAUUGGCCGAUAAAUAUUGACGGCCGAUACAUCGGUACCUGCCUAAUUAUUUACCCAAGCAAGUCCACAGACAAGUAAGAAUUUCAGCGAAUAGCAAUGGAAAUUUUGGUUUGUUCUUCACUUAUAGCUAUGUAAUGACUUGGAAUAUAGCAUGAGUCAUAUGGACUACUUUUAAGAUCGCUUAAUUGUGAUGUGUUUUUGCAGGUGGAGGUGGAGAAGAGGGAGGAACAGGAAUUUUGGAGUGUUUUUCAAUGAUGACUAUGAUUACCUGCAGCACCUGAGAGAUGUGUCACAGCCCACAGAGCUGGUGUGUGCCCCUCGCGUCCGCAGAAAAGCACAAUCAAAGACUGCAGAGGAGGAGGAUGAUGAAGAGGAGACAGAGGAAGAGAACAUCAGCGUUCCUGCGGCCUCCAUCAGACUGCCCUCGUCUGUGUUUGCAUCAGAGUUUGAAGAGGAAGUGGGUUAAACAAAGCAGCUCCUAUUUCAAGUGAAUCAGGGCCGUGGCUUGAUAUGGACCCUGACAUUGAUGAUUUCGAUGACCCAGAGAACAUGCUGGAUGAUGAUUUUGUCAUCAAGGCCAGUGACGUCAUGGGUGAUAUCGGGAGAGAAGAACAGAGAAGAAUGCAAACAAACUGGCGUUCAAGCAGGAGAAACAGAUGGUUCAUUUAAGUGCCAACAUUCAGGGUCUGAAGCUUUUCAGCAGACUUGAAAGAUCAUCAAGAGACUCCAGGAUCUCACAAAAGAGUCAUUAUUUUAAAGAGACUGUGUGUGCAGUUAUACUGAUAAAGGCAUAUCCAGUGUAUAGUGACAUCAUUUAGCUGCCACUUAUGAAAGUUGGACCCAACUUACCAGGAUGUUUCUUUUACACACUCACAUUAAACAGUUUAAGAAGAGUGUGCAAGGACAUGUUUGAGACCAUUGUCAUUCUAAGAUGUAAUGUUUUGGAACCACACUUGCACGGAUAUUUCACAAUGAACAGAAUAUUACCAAUCCUUCUCUUAAUGAAGUUUGGCUGUUUAUCUGUAUGGGGGUGAAGUUAAAAUGUAAAUUAAACCACUAUUUUGAAAAUGUUUGCUGUGUUUAAUAUGCAACAGAUUUUCACAUAGGAUCCCAAUGCCAUUUUUAAUAAACAAAAAUACACUCAGGAUAAAAAUCACAUUAACCAUUUUUCGCCACCAGUAUUCAACUGAUCUGACAACAGAAAAUAUUGUACCCUAUCAGCGGUCCAUAAGCGGCUCCUGAAUUCAUUAUACUACCUUGAUUAUGGUAUGCAAAGUGCUUAAAGUAGUUCACAGAAUUUGACAGAGUUGACCUGAAUUAAAAGUGUCCUAGUUCGUUACGAUAGUCUCUGAUGAUGCGUCCACUUCACGUCAGAAUUACAGUGUUUUGUUAGUCGAACUCAUAAGAAAAUAAACUCUUGGAAAGCUCUGAUGUCUCUUUGAUUGUUUUGAUAUAUAAAAACAAUAUUAAUAGCAGCAGCUUCCACAAUUAGAGAGAGUUAACUACCUCUACAUAAACAUUUGGAUAGGCCAUUUUAUUAUAGCCGAUGCAACCUGAUGUGAUUUCUUGGUUCUUAAACAUUUUGUGAGGGAAUAUAGUGGUAAAUUAAUGUACCUGUUAAGUAUUUCCAGAGUCUAUUUAGCCGAGACGGGACACUUCUAUUAAAAUGAAUGGGAGAAAUUGGAACACUCAACGGUCAAUGGAUGUAGAAAGGAAGUCCCGCCUUACAGGUAAAAAAGCCAAUCACCUUUUAGAUACAGACAUCGCCUGUCAAUCAACUUGAGAACGUGGAUAUGAAUUAGGGUUAGGGUUACAAUUUAUGAUUCCAGUGUUGUCAGAUUAUACAACUGAUUUAAAAUAUGUUCUUUGAUUAUAAUCUUGACCAACUGUGUUGGAGAUUUCGGUCUUUCCCCAUUCAAGUAGACAGGAGCUGCACUUUCAUGAAUGGAAAUAGCCUCCCAAGAGUGUUUCAAAGAUGGCCGACAGUGGACUGAAUUGCUAGAAAGACUUCAGCAUUUCCCAAGACCAAUUUUGGCGUUUUGAGCGUUACCAUAGAAACACAUAAUUUUUUCAUCAAAGAACAUGAACAGCUGAGAGUCGAAUCAAGUUAGUCAUCUCGAAAUUGCAGUAAUUCUGACAAAAUGUGAACGCAGCACCGAUCCACUGGCCUGAGUCGCAUGAUUUGAGCAGCACCGUUAAAAGAUGCUGUAAAAACUUUGUUCAAAGGGCCUGAAAACAUCAUUCUGGCAAACAAGAAAACUUCAGUACGUUUUAAAAUAUACAGUAUAAACAUAAAGACCUGCUUAAAAAUAAUGGAGAGGAAAAAAUGCUCAAAAUACUUAAAAUAUCCCUGUACUUGUGUAAUCGUGUUUCAUUACAAAAAAGGCAUGUCAUCAUGACAAAUGCUUUUCACUGCUGUGAACGGGAGUAACUGGGAAAUUUCACACUGUCAUUUGGAGACCCGUGUUUCUACUAACAUACUAACACAGCAGUUUGCUGGCCUCGGGCCAGCCAAGUUCCCAGCACAAGAAUAUCCCAGUAACAGGUGCCAGGGGGUUUUUAUCGUCUUUUUAGGUGCUUUCCUUUUCAU